rnacentral:rRNA from 1 species
AACGUAGGGGGCGAGCGUUGUCCGGAAUUACUGGGCGUAAAGGGCGCGUAGGCGGUUGUCCAAGUCAGAGGUGAAAACUCUGGGCUCAACUCAGAGCGUGCCUCUGAAACUGGGCGACUUGAGGGCAGGAGAGGGGAGUGGAAUUCCCAGUGUAGCGGUGAAAUGCGUAGAUAUUGGGAGGAACACCAGUGGCGAAGGCGACUCUCUGGCCUGUUUCUGACGCUGAGGCGCGAAAGCGUGGGGAGCGAACGGGAUUAGAUACCCCGGUAGUCCACGCCGUAAACGAUGGGUGCUAGGUGUAGGAGGUAUCGACCCCUUCUGUGCCGUAGCUAACGCAAUAAGCACCCCGCCUGGGGAGUACGGCCGCAAGGUUGAA